UUCCGGUUGAUCCUGCCGGAGGCUACCGCUAUUGGAGUUCGAUUAAGCCAUGCGAGUCUAGAGGCUUCGGCCUCGGCGUACCGCUCAGUAACACGUGGGUAACCUGCCCUAUGGAGGGGAAUAACCUCGGGAAACUGAGAAUAAUGCCCCAUAGCCCACUACGCCUGGAACGGUGAGUGGGUCAAAGCUCCGGCGCCAUAGGAUGGGCCUGCGCCGUAUCAGGUUGUAGGGGGUGUAAAGUACCCUCUAGCCAUCAACGCGUACGGGUGUUGGGAGACAUUGCCCGGAGAUGGAUUCUGAGACACGAAUCCAGACCCUACGGGGUGCAGCAGGCGCGGAAACUUGGCAAUGCGAGAAAUCGUGACCAGGGAACUCCAAGUGCGUAGGGUAAGACCUACGCUUUUCUUGACUCUUCAAAGGUCUUGGAAUAAGGGGUGGGUAAGGACGGUGCCAGCCGCCGCGGUAAUACCGGCGCCUCAAGUGGUAGUCGCUUUUAUUGGGCCUAAAACGUCCGUAGCCGGUCUGGUGCAUUCGUGGGUAAAUCAACCCGCUCAACGGGUUGAAUUCUGCGAGCACGGCCAGACUUGGGACCGGGAGAGGUGUGGGGUACUCUCAGGGUAGGGGUAAAAUCCUGUCAUCCUGAGAGGACCACCUGUUGCGAAGGCGCCACACUAGAACGGAUCCGACGGUCAGGGACGAAACCUAGGGGCACGAACCGGAUUAGAUACCCGGGUAGUCCUAGGUGUAAACGCUGUGGACUUGGUGUUGGGAAGGUUCCGAGCCUUCUCAGUGCCGAAGCGAAAGUGAUAAGUCCACUGCCUGGGGAGUACGGUCGCAAGGCUGAAACUUAAAGAUUGCGGGGAGGGGA
rnacentral:rRNA from 1 species